rfam:Triticum aestivum genome assembly, contig: Triticum_aestivum_CS42_TGACv1_scaffold_036972_1BL
CACCGACACCCUUUGUCCCAAAUUUCUUGUCUUAGAUUUGUCUAGAUACGGAUGUAUCUAAUAUCUAAUACUAAAAUGUGACUUGAUACAUCCAUAUCUAGACAAAUCUAAGACAGGAAUUUUGGGACGGAGGGAGUACUUU